AACGAACGCUGGCAGCAGGCUUAACACAUGCAAGUCGAGCGCCUCGCAAGAGGAGCGGCAGACGGGUGAGUAACGCGUGGGAAUCUACCCAUCUCUACGGAACAACUCCGGGAAACUGGAGCUAAUACCGUAUACGUCCUUCGGGAGAAAGAUUUAUCGGAGAUGGAUGAGCCCGCGUUGGAUUAGCUAGUUGGUGGGGUAAUGGCCUACCAAGGCGACGAUCCAUAGCUGGUCUGAGAGGAUGAUCAGCCACACUGGGACUGAGACACGGCCCAGACUCCUACGGGAGGCAGC
rnacentral:rRNA from 1 species